CGAUUAUGUCAUCUACAUUACCGACCCAGAAAAUUGACAUUUCACCUUCUAGUCUAAGUUUAAGAUUAAAUUUUGUUGAUAAAACGUUAAUAACAAUUAAAAUAAGCACCAUAUUGCAUUCAUUUAAUCAAAAAUGGGCGACUCCAUACCAAUUUCGAACGAAGAGGCUUUAAAAUUAUGCAAAGAACCGGAUCCAACAACGAAGGAAUUUAUUUUCCAACAAACGAUGUUUCGCAUUAAAGAUCCAAAAGUGACUCUUCCGUUUUACACGGAAAUCUUAGGGAUGAGAUUAUUGCAAAAAAUGGAUUUUCCAGAGAUGAAAUUUUCGCUUUAUUUUAUGGGAUUUGAAGAAGCUGAGGAUGUAAUUGGGGAAUUAGGCACGAAAGAGCGUAGCGAAUGGGCUAUUUCUAGGAAGGCUACUUUAGAGCUCACACACAAUUGGGGAACGGAAAAUGAUCCUAAUUUUAAAUAUCAUAACGGAAAUUCCGAUCCAAGGGGUUUUGGUCAUAUUGGAUUGAUGGUCCCAAAUGUUGAAAAAGCUUGCGAACGGUUCGAAAAAAUGGGUGUUAACUUUAUAAAGCGUCCUCAAGAUGGAAAAAUGAAAACGAUUGCUUUCAUCACUGAUCCUGAUGGUUAUUGGAUUGAAAUUUUAAAUAACAAAACUGUUUAAAAAGUAACAAUUUAAUUAAUAUUUAACAAUAUUAAUGAAAUCUACUUUAUCGACUCAAUGAAGUCAUCUAUAUUACCGACUCAAAAUUGACAUUUCACUUUUUAAUCUAAUUUUGAGGUUAUAUUUUGUUGUUUAAACCUUAAUAACAAUUAAAAUAAGCACUUUUCAAUUUAUUACUUUUCUUCACAAAUAUCUUUGUAAGUUUUAUUUAUAAGCACCGAUAAUUUAUGUUUAAACUUUUGAAGAAUUUGCGCUGGUGUUAAAGCGGUAUUUGGAUGAUUUAAAUAAUUAACAACGUUCGAAAUCUUUUUAAAAACGGGGCGUAAGAACCAAAAUGGGUGGUGGUUAAUAUCAUGUUCUGAGUCAAAGUUUGAUGUUGGAUCUUCAAGCGCGAUUUGAAAAUUUCCACCAAAAUUACUUGGAUAACUUAUUAAAAUAUCAUCGUUUAUGAUUUCUUUAACAGGAAUUGAUGAAUUAAGUGACGAAUUAAUCGAAGUUAUCUUACUAAAUGAUUGCUGGAGGAAGUUAAAUUUGUUGAAUUCCCUUCAAAAAUUUGCGAAUUUGAUAUCUAAUAAUGAAAAGAAAUCGAUAUAAUUUAAAUUUAGGAUUUUAAAUCGUUUACUUACGCUGAUGAGAGUGAUUAAAAGAAUGAUUAAUCUCAUUUUUACACAAAGAAAUGUUUUUAAACAAUUAACAAGGUGACUAAAGUUGAAUUUGAUUUGUUUAUAGGGGAAGGGAGUGUAUUUAUAACGAUUUCAAUACCCCUAUUAUUAUUAUUUUUGAAAUAGGAACUUUCUAUGUCCCAAAAAAUGUUUUGAAAUUGUUACGUUUCUAUUUUCACUUCUUAUCUUUGUUAAAAACGAAUUAUUUAAAUCAUCAUAUUUUGACAAGUCUAAUUUAGGUUUUAAAUUCGAUAUGUCUCCUUUAUGUUUGUUAUUGCAUAUUUAGAUUAUUGUUAAAUUUUGUUUAAUAUUAGUAAUAUCGAUAUACAAGGGUUUUGUAUUUAUUAUUUUGACAAUACCGAUUACAGGAAACUGUAAAAUAUGUUGGUAAAAUAGAAAUUGUACAAGUGGUGAUUUAUAUCAAUAAAUAAUAAAUUGUUGUAAAACAA